CCCUAAAAACCUAAACAACUCCCAACAAACUUCCUUUUGCAUAAGGAGUAACCAAAAAUCUAGAUCCAAA
rnacentral:rRNA from 1 species